rfam:Aerococcus sanguinicola strain CCTG43001, complete genome.
GGAGAAUUAGCUCAGCUGGGAGAGCGUCUGCCUUACAAGCAGGAUGUCGGGGGUUCGAACCCCUCAUUCUCCA